UAACACAAUAAGUAUCCCACCUGGGGAGUACGAUCGCAAGGUUGAAACUCAAAGGAAUUGACGGGGGCCCGCACAAGCGGUGGAGUAUGUGGUUUAAUUCGAAGCAACGCGAAGAACCUUACCAGGGCUUGACAUGGGGAUGACCGGUGUAGAGAUACACUUUUCUCUUCGGAGACAUCCCACACAGGUGGUGCAUGGUUGUCGUCAGCUCGUGUCGUGAGAUGUUGGGUUAAGUCCCGCAACGAGCGCAACCCUUAUUGUUAGUUGCUACGCAAGAGCACUCUAGCGAGACUGCCGUUGACAAAACGGAGGAAGGUGGGGACGACGUCAAAUCAUCAUGCCCCUUAUGUCCUGGGCCACACACGUACUACAAUGGUGGUUAACAGAGGGAAGCAAAACCGCGAGGUGGAGCAAAUCCCUAAAAGCCAUCCCAGUUCGGAUCGCAGGCUGCAACCCGCCUGCGUGAAGUUGGAAUCGCUAGUAAUCGCGGAUCAGCAUGCCGCGGUGAAUACGUUCCCGGGCCUUGUACUCACCGCCCGUC
rnacentral:rRNA from 1 species